CGAAAUCCUGCAGACCUGGCAGCGUGACUGGUGGGGGUUUAUAAAAUAAUAGAAAUGUACUGAUCACAGUUCUGGAGGCCGCAAAGUUCAAGGUCAAGGUGAUGACGCCUCAAACGUCUUCACACUGCAACCCCACACGGCAGAGGGGCAAGCGUGGUCCCUGGGCGCCUCUUUCUUCAGGCACGAAUCCCCCCAUUAGAGUUCUGUCCCCAUGACCUAAUCACCCGCUCUUAAUACCAUUGCUGUGGGGUCAGGGUUUCGACAUAAAUUUAGGGGGGACACGAGCAUUCUGAUGGUGGCACUUCCUGUCCCAAGUCUUCUGUUGUGUGCACACCUGUGACCCUGCACGCGUGUUUGCACGCACCUGAGCGCACUCGUACGCCCCUGUCCAUCAGGAGCCUGCUUGGUGCUUUGCAAUUUUGCACUUGACAUUUAUAAUCCCGUCACCAGCCAGAGCUCCCACCUCUAGGUCCUCAGUGAAGCGGGUCGAGGGUUGUGCCUGUGGGAGCGGGAAAGCUCCUGCCACUUCCCGGAAUCCAGGGGAGGGGCACUUGACUCCCGCCUGAGCCAAUCCGAGCAUUGCAUCUCCCCGGACCACAGCGAUUGGCUCCAGGGUGGACCCAGCCUCCGAGUUGUCCAAUCAGAAUGGCUCCCGGGGUUUUGGCGGGGAAGCGGAGCAUCCCUGGACCCUCCGAUUUGGCAAUUUCUUCUUCUGCAAAAUGAGGAAUAAAAGCAUCCUCCUUGGGACAAAGGACACCAGCCAGGCACGUCUCUUUCCUGGGUGACAGGAGGCCACUGUGUCUUGGUGCAGCCCCGUCUGUUUGCCACCCAGCGGCCAGACAACCAGUAAGAGGCAGAUCCACGGACCUCUUCCCCCACUUAAACGGAGGAUAAAGAGCUUCCCCUGAUCUUCAUCUAGGCAGGACCCUUCUCCUGCAGCCUGCUGCUCAGGGCAAGGCAGGGUCUAGGAUGAGGCGAGAGCAACCUCUGUCCUGGAGCAGAAUGGAAGAGGUGCCCCAAACCUCCACUAUAAAAAGGAAACGCUUUAAAAACUAAAAUGGAUGUAAACGAUUCAUGAUGAAUGAAAUAGAAAACUCUAGGUAAAGACAGGAGCUCACCAGGCACUUGCAUGGCUAACCUGUCCCCUCACCCCUAUCCCAGGUCUAUCAGAGCCUGUGUAUCUAAAACGUGGCUUUUAGAGUCUAGUAAGAUGGGGGCACACUUGUAAUCCUAGUAACUUGGGAGGCUGAGGCAGGAGGAUGGCAUUGGAGGCCAGCCUCAGCAACUUAGAGAGACCCCUGUCUCGAAAUGAAAAAUAAAAAGGGCUGGGGAUGUGGCUCA
rnacentral:lncRNA from 1 species